UGCCAGCAGCCGCGGUAAUACAGAGGGCUCAAGCGUUAAUCGGAAUCACUGGGCUUAAAGGGUGCGUAGGCGGGCCUGUAAGUAUCUUGUGAAAUCCCACGGCUCAACCGUGGAAUUGCGUUUGAUACUACUUUGCUAGAGUCUCGGAGAGGUUGGCGGAAUUCCAGGUGUAGGAGUGAAAUCCGUAGAUAUCUGGAGGAACACCAGUGGCGAAGGCGGCCAACUGGACGAGUACUGACACUGAGGUACGAAAGCGUGGGGAGCAAACAGGAUUAGAUA
rnacentral:rRNA from 1 species